UGUGUUUGCCUCAGGGUUGAGAUCUUUUAAAUGUGCAGUCGGCUUUAACAAUGAUCAUAAAGUUUCUCUACUCAGUUACAUCUCAAGUAUUCCAGUGGCUGAAUGUUAUUUAUAUUUAGAACAUUCUAGAACUUUCUUUCACAUUUCCCAUUCAUUACAGAGUCUGCUGGCUCCUUUAUGUACGGUAUUUCUCCCAUCAGUUUUUACAAGUAGUUCAGAAGAAAAGCUCUAUCACGGUAGCCAGUAUAAAAGACCAUUGCUUGGAAGCCAUCUGCCACUGGCCAGUUCCCACAGAGCAGGGAUAGAGACUAGUUAAAUAUGCAAAUACCUGUGAUUGAACCCUUUGACCCUGUCUCACAUAGUAAGGGGGCAUUGCAAGUAGGUUUCAGGUAAGGAUUUAGAGCCAAGAGAGUACCUAAGAGUCUCCACUUGAGUCCUGUGCAGUCACCAAUGUCCUUCUUAGAGGGAGACACAAAAUUCAGAGUUUCAGAGGGUGGAGUGGCUGCAGAAGCCAAAAUGGAGAAGGAAAUAUUUGAGAAUGGUACACUAUUGACUUUGAAGAUGAAGAAAGGUGACACAAGCCAAGAAGGACAUCAGCCUCCAAGAGUUUCAGAAGUGACAGUCCCAGGACCCACAUGUUGUCCUCUCACUUCUCUAUGUGUGUAGUGAUGUGCCUCUCCUAUGAAAUAACAAAUUAAAAUGUAAUAAGGAUACCUCAACUAUCUACAGUGCUCUCUCAGACAUGGUCCCUCUGAGAACUGUGGUAACGUUUCCCCUGCACUGGCCCUUGUCUGUCCCUUGUGAGUCCUGUGGUGAGUCACAGCCACAGGUUAGCCCACUUGCACUGCACCAGGCCCUCAGGUGAGGAUUUGCCAGCUGACAGUUGCCCCAUGCUGGUGAGCAUGGUCAGCUGAAAUCCGAACCCACACCAUACACAGAGUAAUGCAGUUCUCAGGAAAUGGAUGAUUUAUUUAUUUUCAGCCUAAAGUUUAAACACUUUAAUGUACCUCCCAAGAUGUUUACCUGGCUCAGAAAAGUGCAAGGAACCCACAGAGCACUCAAGAGCCAACUGCCUCUGGGACCCACCUGCAGGGAGCUAGCCUCCUGCAGGGAGCCAGCCUGCUCCCCCCAGUGCUGAAGGAAUGACAGAGAAAAUGAAAGCUAGGGAAAAUGGCAUCAGAAUUAUCCUUGGGGAUGGCUUUGGGGCGGUUACCCCAGAUGCCGGUGGGUGAGUGCGAAGGGCAGGUGCUUACACUUGCUGGGGAUGGGGAAAAGGAAAACCCGGUUCAAAUUUGCUAAAGUGUUGGCGGCACACGCUGUCUGAGGCUUUGUUUUAGUAAGAGUCACUAGUCAUAAAUAAAUAGGUUACUGCUGGAAAAUCAGUGCCUUCUUUAUUUGUUUAAGUGUUGAUGUUUUCAAGGUUGGGUUGGAAAGUCUGAUAUCACUUCCUGCUGCUGCAAGAUUCUCUUCCUGAGUCCAUUCCACUCUCUUACCUGGGUCUCACCCACUAACAUUCACCUGGCAGAUUUGCUAGUAGCAGGUCUGGGGCUCACUCACUGGUCACAAGUGUAUUGUCUACAUGCAGGAUGCCCAUUAGCCAAAUCACAGACUGCUGUGAGACUCGAGACUUGAAGUCCAGAUGCAUCUCUGCAUUCGUGUGUGUGUGUGUGUGUGUGUGUGUGUGUGUGUGUGUGUGUGCACCUUGCUUAGGUGUGAGGACCUAUGCUGUGAUGGGGGUCAUCACUGUGGAGGCAGAAAUGCUUUUUUAAAAUCAGUUUCCCUAGACAGUAAGAGAGCUCAGCCAUGCCUCCCUUGUCCCCCUGUCCUUCAUGAGUGAGAUUCUUUGACUCCUUUGUACCUCCAGGCCCUCAAGCUGGUCCAUCUUAGUCUAGUGCCUUACUGGGCUUGCUCAUGGCUUGGUUUCAUUCUCAGGAAAUCAGGCAGAGAGAAAAAGCAACUAGAUACAAUUUUUUCAUCCUGAAUUGAGACGACAAAAUGUGUAUCCGUUCUGGUAAUAGACAUAUGCACCGCCAUGCCCUUUGUGCACACGGUGGCCGGUACAUUCCAGACUGUCUGCUUCUUCGUAAGCGCCUUUUGUUUGUUUGUAGGUGUGGAGGCAUCAACCCAGGUUCCGGUUUCGAGACCUGCAUUUCCUGUUGCCUCUCAUGCUGUUGGUGUGGCUUUGUCGUGGCUUAGCAGUGAGCCUGUCUGACCUGCGCCACUUCUCUUGGCCCUCACUACUCCUGCUUUUAGGUCCCUGUGUUUCAGGCUUGCAUCCUUGACAUUCUUGUGGGGCUUCUUUCCCCAUCCCUUACCUUUAUAUCUCAUAAGUUGCUGCGUCUUUAACCAUUUCCUGAUCUCACCCUCCACCCCAUCCCGUGCCUUCCUCUUUUAAAAUCUCUGUGUGUAUGUGUCCCUGUGUGCUUGUGUGUGCCCAUGUAUGUGUCCAUGCCUGUGUGCAUGCCUGGAUACUGUGAAUGUAGCUGCAGACAGAUCAGGGCACUUGUGAGCUCAGAGGUUAAUCGUGGUGCAGGGCUUCAUCUUCCAUCUUGUUUCUCACUGCUUAUGCCAGGCUAGCUAGCUUUCGGGGACUCUUCUGUCUCUGUCCUCACAUGUCCUGGUAGGAGUGCUCGAAUUAUAGACAUGCUGCCCAGCUUCUGUCUUGCUUUUUCACCUGCCAUGACACUCGAAUAAUUGCUAUUACUUAGCUGGUUACCCGCUUCGAGUCAAUCACCCUGAGAUGUUGGUCUUCAUCCCCAACUUGACUAGAUUUAGAAUCACGUAGGAGGUACACAUCUAAGCACAUCUGUGGUGUUUUCAGAUAAAUUCAACUGUGUAAGGAAGAUCCAGUUACAUGUGGGCAACGGCAGCCAAUGGGCUGGGGCCUGAGAAUCAGCAUUCAUCCGUUUCUUGACUGUGUGACAGCCUGAAUCCAACCUCAGUGUGCCUCUGUCAGAUUAACAGGAUAGCUGGAAGUCCCGCUGGCCAUCGGACACUCGUUCAUUAGGUGCUAACUAUGUGUCAGGCACUGGGUACUGGGAUGCGAUGGUGAACAAGACAGCCACAGACCAGCUCUCCUUGGAAACUGAGCUCAGAGGUGGAAACCAACCUAAAUAAACGGUCACGAUCAAGCUGUCAGUAGGACCGAUUCCUUGGAGAAACUCUGGAAAUAGUGAGUGCCUUCUGCUUCCCCAGUUCCCAGAAGCCCUCUGCAACCCUUAGCUUGUGGCCCCUUUGAUCUUCAAUAUCAGCAAUUACCAGUCAAGUCUUUUUCACGCUGCGUCCUUUGACCUCUUCUCUUGCUUCUAUCUUUCACUUUCAAGCACAUUUGUGAUGAUUUGGGGCUUACCUGGACAAUCUACAGUUAUGUUUUCUGGGAAACAUAACACAGUCACGACUUUUAGGUGGUGUCUGUGCCUGUCGCAGGCAGUUGGACUGACAAAAUAUGAACCGUGCUCAGAUGCCAAGAGCACACAGUGGCUGUGCAAUGAGGGAGCCCGAGGAUGGCCACUGAUGGCAGGCAUUUCGGAACCCUUCUCCAAAGCUCUAGAGCUCUAGACCAAUGAUUCUCAACCUUCUUUUUUAAUGUGCAUUGGUAUUUUGCCUACAUGUAUGUCUGUAUGAAAGUUUCAGAUCUUGGAUUACAGACAUCUGUGAGCUGCCAUGUGGGUGCUGGGAAUUGAACCUGGAUCCUCUGGAAAAGCAGCUAGAUGCUCUUAACUGCUGAGCCAUCUCUCCAGCCCCCGGUUCUCAACAUUCUUAAUGCUGAGACCUUUAAUAUAUUUCUCAUGUUGUAGUGACUCCCAACGAUAAAAUUAUUUUUGUUACUACUGUUAUGAAUUGUAAUAUCUGUUUUUUUUUAUAGUCUCAGGUGAUCCCUGUGAAAGGCAACCCACUGACUGAGAAGCCCUGCCCUAGUGGUCAGCUGGCAUCCCUGAGUAAGAGCUAGCUCCUCUGAGGGGGUCUAGCUCCUCAUUCGCAGGGCCUGCUUUCAAGUGCUAGGAAUUACUAAGAUCUAAAGACUUGGGAUGCAGAUAUUGGUGAGAGGUGCUAUUCUGCAUGCCAUGAGGUAUUGCUGAGAGAAGGAGGAAGAAAAAGAAUAGGAGGAAAGAAAUUACACCGAGUCACUCUCAUCUGAAGUCUGAUUGCACCCAGGAUAAAAGACCUUCUCGGACAAUUACCGGAUGGUCUGGGAGAGGGAGCCAAAGGGCAGGGACUGCUAGAUGGCUCUAGAAGCCAUUUAGAGAUUUGCACAUUGCUGCUAUCCUAAAUCCUACUUCCUCAGUUAGGACACGGGCAAACAGAAGUGCACCUGCAGACUGGCCUUUGCCAAGUAGAGAAGCCUCAGGUGUUAUAACUGAGGACUAGUAUGUGCAGACUCCAAGCAAGGAAGAUCAUUUUUCAUCACUGGCCAUCGCAGAGGCCAGCGGGCAGGGCUGCUGUGAGGACCCUGACAUGCCCAGGUGUAUGCCCUAGCCUGCCAUCAUUCGGACAGGCUAGACGAUGAUGCAGUAUAAGGGAGGAGUGAUUUACUCUGGCUCACAGUUUCAGACCUUUCAGCCCGAAACCAUGUGGCCCCAUUGCUUUUUACCUGAGGUGGGGUAGACUACCAUGGUGACAAGGACAUAUGACAGAGCAGUGGAAAGACAAGGGACCAGAGACAGAGGCAUAUCCCAAGUGACCUGCUUCCUCUAGCCAGAUCUGGUCUAAGAUUUCCUCCACUUAUCAAAUUAGGAAUUUGUGACUUCAUCCCCCAGUCACAUCAGAGUUCUCCAAGUCUAAUGAGCACUCGGUGACUGGAUCCAUGAGCUGAGGACUAAACUCCAACACUCAUGCCUUUUCACAGAGGGGCUGCCAUCAAGCCUGUACUUCCUGCUGAUAAGUUAAUCUACACAGAAUACUCUCAUCUCACCUUGCAGCACUGAGGAGAAGAGGAAAGGACCAGAGGAGGCAGCAAGCAGCCCUUUUUAGGGCAUGGCCUAGAAUGGACUCUUUCAGCUUUGGCACUGAUGACACUUGUGCCAAGCAACUCUUUUGUGUAAGGGGCUGUUUUGUACAGCAUAGCUUGUGCCACGCCUCUAGAAUCCACCUUCUAGAUAACAGGAAUCACAGCUUCUGGAAGUGACCGUGAAGAACGUCUCCAGACUUUGUCAAAUGCUCUGGGAAGCAAAGUCGCAUGCAGUUAAGUGGAUAUAGGAGAGAGCAUGCUAUUCUGGUACCCUCCUCUUGCUCAGAACUUAGGAAACGGUCACUCCUCUAAAGUGUAAGCAGGGGUUCUAUCAGUAAGGAAGUGGCUGACACGUGGCUUCAGCUGGUGGUCUCUGGGAGACUAACAGCUUCCGAGCCUCUGCUUAGUGUCCGAGUCACGCUCCUGAACACAUGGGAUGUGCUGUGAGGAUGGUCGCUAGUGAGAGGAGUUUCUGAACCUGUCUCCAGAGUCCUAGCUGGUCAGUUGGCAUCCCUGAGGCAACGCUAUCUGAGGAGUUGGCCCUUUAACCACUGGACUUGCUUCCCAAUGCUGGGGGAGUCAAAGACAUUUCCUGGAGCCACAGGCUUCCCAGUUCUAUGUCACACUGAAUGCGAACUUUGGCUUUAACUUCUGGCUCUGUCUUACAUGCGUCCAGAGUGACUUUGCUUCUCCCAUAGUGGGUUUCAAAGGCGAACAGUAUUGGCUUUUAUUUUGACCAUGAGUUAGCUCUGUGGUUCUUUGUCAUCCUGCUUUCCUCGUCUGUAAAGUUAGGGCAGGGUCCGCUUUCACUCAGGGUUGUUGGGGGAAUUAAGUGAGAUGAUGUGGAAGAGAGACUUGUGCUCAUUCUUCAGACUUCAACACCUAAGGGCCUGGCAAAUUGAUACUCAGGUUUAAGCACUGGAGUCUGGGUCUCCAGGGUUAACAUGAGUGCUUCGUAGGCAUGGCAGCCUACUUGAAAUCCGGGAACUGUGGGAUUUGAUGAGGAUGGGGAACGCCAAGGGAAACAGGGUACUCAGAGCACGCUGGUCAACAAGCCAACAGAACAGUGGCCUCUGUGCCCAGUAAACACGCUGGUGAGCAGCAGUGAAGUAUGACACCUAAGAUCAACUUCUGUCCUGCAUGUGUGUGUGCACAUACACAUAUCCAUAUUUCACACACACCCCCAUACAUAUGCAUACAUGGGAAAAGAAGGAGAAAGAAGACUGACUAGCAGCCGCAUGUCGAGGAGAGCAGGAUCUUAUCUUCGCAGUGUUUCCCUGUGGUAUUUACUGCCCUUGUUAUGGUCGUUGAUUCUAGAACUUGCCAGCCAGUGGGUAGAUGAGGCUGAACCAAUACAUACUGGGUCUGCAUGUGGAAGAAUGAGGCUUGCAGCCAACGGCCGUCCACAUCUCUGAUGAGGAUCAGCACCUCAACUGUCAACUGAUGAAUCUGAGCUCAUUUGCUGAAGGGAUAAACCAACCAGUGAAUCUCAACUCCAUCCUUCUACCACUCGGGCCUUAACUCUAGUGCCAGACAAGAGAAAGGGAAAAAUUCUUGGAACCUCUAGAGCUAGCCACACUUGAAAAAGAGAAGAGCUAGAUGUCUUUUGAACCAUCCUGUCUGCUUGACCAGUAGGACUGCUCUGUAUCAGUGCCUAAGUCCCUCCCUAUGGGGUCUCCUUCUUGUCUUAGAGUCAGUUGAGGGGAGCCCCCAAUGCCUUUCUCCCUGUUGCUCAUGAAGGACACUACUGGUUGACCACAGCUCUUUCCCAUGCUGCUCUGGACAGCAGUCACAUCUUUGCCAUUAUGGAACUAGCUAGCAAUCAUGCCUCAUGCUGUCACCUGUAAGAAGGGAGAGUAUUUACUCCCAUAGCCCAUGAGCAGUGUCUACAGCUGUGGACUGUCCAGAGACUAGAUAACCAGUGAUUCAGAAGCCUGGCUGCAGAUCUGGUCGCUUGAAUAAAAAUGCCCCACGUGCCUAGAGGGGGUGGCACUAUUAGGAGGUGUGACCUUAUUGGGAUAGGUGUGGCCUUGCUGGAGGAACUUUGUCCUUGUGGGGACAAGCUUUGAUAUCUCAGAAGCUCAAGUCAGUUCACUUCCACUGCCUGUGGAUCAAGAUGUAGAACUCUCAGCUCCAUCUUCAGCACCAUGGCCGGACUGCUUCAUACUGCCGCGUUUCCCACCGUGAUGAUAAUAGACUAAACCUUUGAAACUGUAAGCCGGCCCCAAUUAAAUGUUUUCCUUUAUCAGAGUUGUCACGGUCACAGUCUCUCUUCAUAGCAAUAAAAAUCCUAACUAUGACACUUGGGAUGCUCUGCGAAUUGUAUCUCUGGGCCCCAGCAUUUAGCAUAUUCCUGUUCUUUCUCUAUGGUGCCAU
rnacentral:lncRNA from 1 species